rnacentral:rRNA from 1 species
GUAACACGUAGGAGGCAAACGUUAUCCGGAUUUACUGGGCGUAAAGCGCGUGUAGGUGGUUUGGUAAGUAGGGCGUGAAAGCUCCUGGCUCAACUGGGAGAGGACGUUCUAAACUGCCAAGCUUGAGGAUGGUAGAGGGAGGUGGAAUUCCGGGUGUAGCGGUGGAAUGCGCAGAUAUCCGGAGGAACACCAGUGGCGAAGGCGGCCUCCUGGACCACUCCUGACACUCAGACGCGAAAGCUAGGGUAGCAAACGGGAUUAGAGACCCCGGUAGUCCUAGCCCUAAACGAUGUAGACUUGGCGUCGGUGGUUUAAUCGCCAUCGGUGUCGUAGCUAACGCGUUAAGUCUACCGCCUGGGGACUACGGCCGCAAGGUUAAAACUCAAAGGAAUUGACGGGUCCCCGCACAAGCAGCGGAGCGUGUGGUUUAAUUCGAUGCUACACGAAGAACCUUACCUGGGUUUGACAUAGAGGUAGUAGGGAAGCGAAAGCGGACCGACCCUUCGGGGAGCCUCUACAGGUGUUGCAUGGCUGUCGUCAGCUCGUGUCGUGAGAUGUUCGGUUAAGUCCGCUAACGAGCGCAACCCUCGCUGUGUGUUACAAGUGUCACACGGUACUGCCGAUAUUAAGUCGGAAGAAGGUGGGGAUGACGUCAAGUCAGCAUGACCUUUAUAUCCAGGGCUACACACACGCUACAAUGGCCAGUACCAUGGGUUGCCAAGCCGCGAGGCGGACCCAAUCCUAAAAAGCUGGCCUCAGUUCAGAUUGCAGUCUGCAACUCGACUGCAUGAAGUUGGAGUUGCUAGUAACCGCAGGUCAGCAAUACUGCGGUGAAUACGUUCCCGGGGAUUGUACACACCGCCCGUCAAGUCAUGGAAGCUGGCAACACCUGAAGCCGGUAUCCUAACCCGAAAGGGAGGGAGCUGUCGAAGGUGGGGUCGGUGACUGGGACU